UCCGGAGGGGGCUAGCGUUGUUCGGAAUUACUGGGCGUAAAGCGCACGUAGGCGGCCUUGUAAGUUAGAGGUGAAAGCCCGGGGCUCAACUCCGGAAUUGCCUUUAAGACUGCAUCGCUAGAAUUGUGGAGAGGUAAGUGGAAUUCCGAGUGUAGAGGUGAAAUUCGUAGAUAUUCGGAAGAACACCAGUGGCGAAGGCGACUUACUGGACACAUAUUGACGCUGAGGUGCGAAAGCGUGGGGAGCAAACAGG
rnacentral:rRNA from 1 species